GGCUGGAGCAGCAAAGUCAGGGAACUCCCAGCAUUUACAGAGCAGAGCUUGUUAUGAAGAAAUGGGCACAGCUGCUUUGUUCAAACUACCUCUGCUAGGCACCAGAGCUGGAGCGUGCUGCUUUCUUUGCCUGACACUACUUAGACCCUUCUGAAAGGAUGUGCAGUAUCUUCUCAGGAAGCAAGUCAAAUGUCUUAAUGUGCCUUGGAGACAUUUCCAAAGCUAAGGAGACAUAAAAUGUCUUUUCAAAGAACCACUACUCUGAAAACAUUGUGAAUUUCUGAG